rnacentral:rRNA from 1 species
AACAGGAUUAGAUACCCUGGUAGUCCACGCCGUAAACGAUGAGUGCUAGGUGUUGGGGGGUUCCCCCUCAGUGCCGAAGGUAACCCAUUAAGCACUCCGCCUGGGGAGUACGGCCGCAAGGCUGAAACUCAAAGGAAUUGACGGGGGCCCGCACAAGUGGUGGAGCAUGUGGUUUAAUUCGAAGCAACGCGAAGAACCUUACCAGGGCUUGACAUCCCGCUGACCGCUCCAGAGAUGGAGCUUCCCUUCGGGGCAGCGGUGACAGGUGGUGCAUGGUUGUCGUCAGCUCGUGUCGUGAGAUGUUGGGUUCAGUCCCGCAACGAGCGCAACCCUUAUCGCCAGUUGCCAGCAUUUCGGAUGGGGACUCUGGCGAGACAGCCGGUGAAAGCCGGAGGAAGGUGGGGAUGACGUCAAAUCAUCAUGCCCCUUAUGUCCUGGGCUACACACGUGCUACGAUGGCCAGUACAAAGGGAAGCGAACCCGCGAGGGGGAGCCAAUCCCAAAAAACUGGUCUCAGUUCGGAUCGCAGGCUGCAACUCGCCUGCGUGAAGCCGGAAUCGCUAGUAAUCGCGGAUCAGCAUGCCGCGGUGAAUACGUUCCCGGGCCUUGUACACACCGCCCGUCACACCAUGGGAGUUGGGUUGACCCGAAGACGGUGCGCCGACCUCGCAAGAGGGGGCAGCCGGCCACGGUCAGUUCAGCGACUGGGGUGAAGUCGUAACAAGGUAACC